UAGGGAAUCUUCGGCAAUGGGGGGAACCCUGACCGAGCAACGCCGCGUGAGUGAAGAAGGUUUUCGGAUCGUAAAGCUCUGUUGUUAAGGAAGAACGAGUGUGAGAAUGGAAAGUUCAUACUGUGACGGUACUUAACCAGAAAGGGACGGCUAACUACGUGCCAGCAGCCGCGGUAAUACGUAGGUCCCGAGCGUUGUCCGGAUUUAUUGGGCGUAAAGCGAGCGCAGGCGGUUAGAUAAGUCUGAAGUUAAAGGCAGUGGCUCAACCAUUGUAGGCUUUGGAAACUGUUUAACUUGAGUGCAGAAGGGGAGAGUGGAAUUCCAUGUGUAGCGGUGAAAGGCGUAGAUAUAUGGAGGAACACCGGUGGCGAAAGCGGCUCUCGGGUCUGUAACUGACGAUGAGGCUCGAAAGCGUGGGGAGCGAACAGG
rnacentral:rRNA from 1 species